rnacentral:tRNA from 1 species
AAGGAUUUAAGUUAAACAAACUAAUAACCUUCAAAGUUAUAAAUAGAAAAGAUUCUAAGCCUUA